UUGGUAAUGUUACAGUUAUAAACGUUAACCAAAUUGUGUGUCAAGCAUUUGUAAGGAACAUAAGUACUGAUGAACAGAAUAAGAUUCUUGGCAGUAGAGAAUUUCAUCUGAUCCACUCGGUCAAUGUACUCGCCCGAGCUUACCACUUGAUGUAAAAAACAAGCAUGACUAUUUAGAGCUAGAAGCAGGUAUUCUACUCAGCCCUUCAGCUUCCA
rnacentral:lncRNA from 1 species